AAUGUAUUUUGAUAUAUAUUAUAUGCAUCAAGUUAUAAAGGUUGGAAACAUUGCAAAAUUGUUUGGAGCAAAGUUUUUAACUUCACGAUCUUCAUCUUGAAGUCAGUUCAGCGUCGGCCCUGGUCACAAGCAGAAGAAGCAUGGGCUUCCAGCUGACACGAUAAUAAGUAUUUUCGCGGCCACAUAUUUAUAAAAAGUGACUUUAGCCUAGUGGUUCUAAGAAAAAUUACCAAUGCUAGAGGUGCUGGGUUCAAUUACCCUUAACUGCAUUCGUUUAUUUUGGUCCUAAAUAUAAAAUGGGACACGUGUCACUCCCAGAACGUACGAAUUGAUGACGUGGCUUCACGGGAGAGAGGCAAAUAUUUCUUUAUAUAUAUAGAUAAGAUAAACUUUUGUGGUGCACCAAAAAAAAAAAUUUGUUUGUAUUUAAUGUUAAGAAAGAAAUUAAUGACCAAUGAUAUUUUCUUAGACUAGUACUUCUUUCCAUUUUCCUGGUUCUUAUAUAUAUAUAUAUAUAUAUAUAUAUAUAUAUAUAUAUAUAUAUAUAUAUUACAAACCCUAAAACUAAGCUUUGGCCUGCAUGGGAGUUAGAGCGUAUUAAUUGGUGAGACCAGUACAUUAAUUAGUGGCUUUUCAUUUCCCAUUAAACGAUCGUCGAGAUUCGUGUCUUAUUACUCCCUCCGUUUUUUAUUAUAAGUCGUUUUAUAGAAACUUUUUUGUUCCAAAUUAUAUGUCGUUUUCGGUUUUCUAUGUAAAAUUUAUUAAUAAUUAAUGUUGUGUGACCAAUAGUAAUAUAUCUUCUAUUUUUCUAUUGGUUGAAUUGUGGUUAGGUAAAUAAUUAAUGAUGUUUUUGUUUAGAAAAUAUAAGAAAUUAAUGGUUUUCUUAAUCUACGUGCAUAGCUGUAAAACGACUUAUAUUAAAAAACGGAGGGAGUAUUAUUCUGCCAACAGAAACUGUAGUCUAAUAUCAGUUACAAAAAAAAGAAACUGUAGUCUAAUAAUCGUGUAGAUUCCCCAGUAAUUAAUCGUCUGACCCCAUUUUUCCCGGAUCCCACUUGUAACGAUAAAAGUCUUUAGACUUUAGCCCAAAAAAAGAAGAUAAGGCUCCGAAUGGUAACUGCGGUUUGAGCGGUGCGAGACAAGCGGUUUAAUUGCAGUGCGGUUUUAACAAUUAUAAAAACGUAUAGAUAUAUGAUAAAUGUAGAAAUUUUUGUUACUGUUAACUGCAGUGCGGAGCGGGGCGGUUCGUAACAUUCGAAGCCUAAGAGUUGUUACCUUAUUUUAAAUCCUUCAUCACAUGUUUCGGUCUGGAACUGAAACAUGAUACUCCCUCCGUUUCUGAAUAAGUGUCAAUUUGACAUUUUUCAAACAGAUCAAAAAAGUAACAAAAAUAUAUGUAAAUUGUUAUUAAUUACAUCUUUCUGACCAAAAGUAUUUGAGAUAAAUAAAAUUAUUUAUAAAACCAAUACAGUUUAUAAUUAAUUUACAGCUGAAAGUAAAUAUAAUCAAUACAAUACUAAAAGUUGAAUAAGAUCAACAUCUAAGCUGUCCACAUAGGACUAAAAAAUCAACCAAUAGAAAAGAGUUAUUUUGCCAUGUCAUAUGAGCUUCGUUCGAAAAUGAUAAUUAUCGAGACUUUCGUGUGGGCUUAUGAUAUUUGGCCCAGUCAAACUCACUUCUGGAAAUGGCUCACAAACUUUCUCUUCUCAGUUUCGGAUCCUUGGAGAUCUCCGUUACACGCAACAUCUUUAUCAAUCAAUUAUCUUUUACUCUUUUCUUUAUGGUCUCAUUUCACCUCCCUAUUAUAUUCUCCUAUAAAAAUCGUUUCUUCCAAACUUUAAUUCAACCAAAAUUGAAAGCUAUGGCCAUGAGAAAUAAAUAAUUCAGAGUCUCUUGCUCUUCCUCUACUCUUUGUACCCGGUAAUCAAACCCCACAGUAUUCAUAGCUAUAGGAACGGCGAAAUCCACCGCCACAGCCCCGGCUUAAUUUUAUAAGGAUGUGAUCGUUUACCACCAAGUUUGCUUGCUUACAUGGUUGCAGCUUCAUAACUCGUGCCAUGUUUGUCAUACGAGUUCAUGACUCAUGGAGGUCAGACCAGUGGGGAAGACAGACAACAAACGGUUGAGAUUUCGCCGACUCCGAGGAGGUUUAGUUUAUCAUAUCCAUGGCCACUCAAGAGACAUGAUACGAAUUAGGAUUCUGGGAGUGGAUCUGAUAUCGAUACUACGUAGGAUGAAUUGGAUUGAGAAAUUCAUGGCAUACAAUGAAAUUCUCAAAACAUUUGAAGAUCAAGAGGAGUUAAAAGAGGUUUGACCUUCAAAUGCUAGCAAGAAGGCGGAUCAAUGGGUAGCUUUUCGAAUAUACUCUGUAGACAUUCCUUUUACCUGUUCUCCUCUCCAAUAUUUGUGUUGCCACUUGCCAGUGGCCCAGUGUUAACAAUGGUGGCUUCCCUAAACCCACGUCUGUUAUUCUCCUCAACUAACAAAAUGUGUUUCAUGUAGCAUUUAAAGCACUGAAUUUUUUUCAGGGUUAUGGAAAUGGGGAAGAAGCUUGCAGAGAGGAUAAGGAGCAAAGGGCCUUACAUUGUCCUGAGUGUAUCUAAUUGUGGCUUUGAAAAUUCAUUUUCUACACCGAAGAAAAGAAGAAGCCAGUGACUGUUUUUUAACGUUUUGUUGUCUUCUAAGCUCUGUGAAUGUUUAUAAAACUGGUGUUUUGAUGAUUAUGUGCCUCACAUUUUUUUUGUUUUUAUGGAUAGGUUGAAUCACAGCUCACUGAAUAAAAAAAUACCCAACUCCGUAUUUUCGAAUGGUCUUACAUAACUGUCUCCAGUGGGAUCAGUGGCCUUAUGCUACUGUCGAUAUACUACAGAUUCCACCAACGCCAUAUCUACAAAGCCAAAAAGGAGGAAGAUGAACAUGACAACUUGAAGCCAGCCUCUAUCGCUGGGGGUGGAAACUGCAGCAAAUCAUAGUAGACACUACAAGGUACUCGCAUGUUGAAGCAAAAGAAGUUUUCUUUUCUGUUACAAAGCUUUCCCAAUCUAAAGACACUGGUUUGGGAGAGAACGGUUUACUUGAUCAUAAAGGAACUUUCUCCAUCAGCUGAUAAGGUUCAUAGUUUGUAAUUUGCUUAGGUGGCUGAAUCCUAAUACCAAUACUGAAGGUAUAGUUUCUUAAUUUGCUUCACCAGUGCCAACAAUCACAAAAUUAUAAUUUGUUCUUCUUCCUUCAGAUUCUAAUGAUUGGUUGUUAUUUGAGUCAUUGUGAUUUUCAGUAGGGAUGUUUAAAUGAAGAUAGAAUCUAACAAGUCAGUGUCGGAGGUUAAUAAUGAAAUUGAGAGUGAGGAUGGUAGUGAAUAGGUUUGUAGUUGAUCAUUUUAAAUUACGUUUCAUUGUGUAUAAUCAAAUUCAUGAUGAGAACGGUGACCAAGGUUGAAAUUUGUAGCAUAAGUACAGAUGGUUGAUCUCUUUGUCUUCUUUAUGUUUUCGUAAAAUUGUUAUGGAAAUGAUUAAAAGAGAGUGUUUUUCUUUAUUAUUCUCUUUGUUUUAAAACUUCACAAAAUGUUUUAUUCCCUACAUAAUUUAGAUUCUUAUUUUAUAAAUUUGUGAUCUCAUAUUUCUAUUUUGACAUGUGAUCAAUUCAAAUAAAAUUAUAGAUGAAAAUUGAUAAAUUAAAUUGAUUUAUUUGGCCAAGAUAAUGUCAUUGUUUCAAACUCAUGCCCAAUUCUAAAUUUACACAUUUCUAACAAAUUAUAUAUAAUAUCCUUUUCUAUAUAAAUUAUCAAAAAAAGCAACAAAUUAGUGAUAAAGCAGUAUAAGGAAUUGUAUUAAUCUUUGAUGAUGCAAUUAAAUAAAACAUAAAAUAUUCAGAAAUUUACCAAGUAUAGCUAUAAAAUAGUAAUAAUUAAUAAAUAAAAUGAAUAAAAACUAAUUUCAAUUUGCAACGAAGUAAGAAGAAAAUAAAAAAAUAAGGAUUAUAAAAUGAAAAAAUAAAGAGGAAAUAAACACACAAAUUUAUUACUUCAAUGUAUUCGUGAAUAAGUUUGAACCAAGAUGAGUCUACUUUUUUGCUACCAAAAUUGUUUUCAAGCAAAUAGUAAACAAUAAAUCAAUCAAAUUAAAAAAAAAUUAUUAAUUAUAUUUUUAAUUUAUAUAAAAUUUAAAACUAAACAUAAUAUACGUUUAUAUAUAUAAUUAAGAACAUAUAUUAAGGAUUUUUGAUGUAUAUAUCAUGCAUUCCCAUUAUAGUAUUUUUUUUACAAAUGGUAAUACAUUCUAACAUCAUCUUCACAUAACAUUCAAAUCACCCAAGAAACCACAAUAAUUCUAUUAAGAAAAUAUACCCAAAAUACAUUCAUACAUCUUAUGGUGAAACUUACAAUCAACUCUUAUGUCUAGCCACUUACAAACACAUUCCUAUUAGAUUGUUUUAUAAAUGAAUUUUGUGUUUACUUAUUUAAAUUUAAAAAUAGAAAAUGUUUUUGAUUUUCAAGGUCCAUCCUAAUAUUAUUGAGAAAAUACACAUAACAGAAAAAAAUUUAACACAAAAAAAAACUAAAUACAAAAACAUAUUUCGUUAUAGGUUUGCUUUUCUAGAGGUACAAAAAAAAUAUAUAAAUAGAAAGAAAAAUUACAAAAAAUGUUUUAAUCUUGAAAUAUCUCACAUCGAACUUUUAUACAUUUCUUAAUAUGAAAUGGCCAAAUAAUAAAUUUUGACAAUUUCAAAGCAUAUAAUAGGAAAUAUAAAUUAACUUGAUAACAAUCACUAAUCCAAAUUAAACAUAUAUAAAGCUGAAUGGAAAAUAAAUUUCAUUAUCAUGUUUGAUUUUUUAAAACAUUACAGAAAUUAUUAUUCACCUCAACAUUUAAAAUAAAAUAUUAUUCUUACUUUACUUAAGAUAGUCACAUUAAUCCACUCAGAAGCUAAUAAAAACAUAUAUUACAUA